rnacentral:rRNA from 1 species
UACGUAGGAUGCAAGCGUUGUCCGGAUUUAUUGGGUUUAAAGGGUGCGUAGGCGGUUUAAUAAGUCAGGGGUAAAAGUCAGCAGCUUAACUGUUGAAGUGCCUUUGAUACUGUUAGACUAGAGUAAUGAGGAGGUAGUUGGAAUUUGUAGUGUAGCGGUGAAAUGCAUAGAUACUACAAAGAACACCGAUAGCGAAGGCAGAUUACUAUCCAUUAACUGACGCUGAGGCACGAAAGUGUGGGGAUCAAACAGG